rnacentral:sRNA from 1 species
GAAACUGAAUUUAAAUUCGAUGAGGACUGCCUCAAAUCCUUUCAAACCAUCAAGGAUGCUUUGGUAUCUGCUCCGGUUGUUCGAGCGCCUAAUUGGGACUAACCAUUUGAGAUCAUGUGUGAUGCAUCAGAUUACGCAGUAGGAGCUGUUUUAGGCCAGAAAAUAGACAAGAAGCUUCAUGUCAUAUAUUACGCCAGCCGAACGUUGGAUGACGCUCAGGGAAGAUAUGCAACAACUGAGAAGGAGCUUUUAGCUGUUGUAUUCGCAUUUGAGAAGUUCAGAAGCUAUUUGGUUAGAUCAAAGGUAACUGUCUAUACAGACCAUGCAGCUUUGAGGCAUCUGUAUGCCAAGAAGGAUACUAAACCAAGACUGUUGAGAUGGAUACUUUUAUUGCAAGAGUUUAACAUGGAGAUAGUAGAUAAGAAAGGCAUUGAAAAUGGUACAGUUAACCAUCUGUCAAGGAUGAGAAUUGAAGAACCCCUUUCGAUAGACGAUUCAAUGCCAGAAGAGCAGCUCAUGGUUGUAGAGUUCUUCGGAAGGAGCUACAAUGGGAAAGAGUUCCACCAACUGAAUGCUGUUGAAGGAGAAUCUCCAUGGUAUGCUGAUCACGUCAAUUACUUGGCGUGCGGAGUAGAGCCUCCCAUCCUGACAAGUUAUGAAAGGAAGAAGUUUUUUAGAGACAUACACCAUUACUACUGGGAUGAGCCUUAUCUUUACACUCUCUGUAAAGAUAAGAUCUACAGGAGAAGUGUCUCAGAAGAUGAUGUGGAAGGUAUCCUGCUGCAUUGCCAUGUCUCAGCAUAUGGUGGUCACUUCGCGACGUUCAAGACAGUGUCCAAGAUUCUUCAAGCAGGCUUUUGGUGGCCAACAAUGUUUAAGGACGCUCAGGAGUUUGUUUCAAAGUGUGAUUCAUGCCAGAGAAAAGGCAACAUCAACAGAAGAAAUGAGAUGCCUCAGAAUCCAAUCUUGGAAGUUGAGAUCUUUGAUGUAUGGGGGAUUGAUUUUAUGGGUCCAUUCCCAUCUUCAUACGGUAAUAAAUAUAUAUUGGUCGCCGUAGACUACGUAUCAAAGUGGGUCGAAGCUAUUGCUAGUCUUACCAACGAUGCAAAAGUUGUGCUGAAGUUGUUCAAGACCAUAAUCAUCCCAAGAUUUGGAGUUCCCAGGGUAGUAAUCAGUGAUGGCGGGAAGCAUUUCAUCAACAAGGUUUUUGAGAACCUCUUGAAGAAGCAUGGAGUAAAGCACAAGGUCGCCACUCCCUAUCAUCCACAGACAAGCGGGCAGGUUGAGAUCUCCAAUAGGGAGAUAAAAACAAUUCUGGAAAAGACUGUUGGGAUUACAAGGAAAGACUGGUCUGCAAAGCCAGAUGAUGCAUUAUGGGCUUACAGGACAGCCUUCAAGACCCCCAUUGGUACAACUCCUUUCAAUCUUCUCUAUGGAAAAUCAUGUCAUCUACCUGUUGAGCUCGAGUACAAAGCAAUGUGGGCGGUAAAACUUCUGAACUUUGACAUAAAAACUGCUGAGGAGAAGCGAUUGAUCCAACUCAGUGACCUCGAUGAGAUCCAUCUAGAAGCUUAUGAGAGUUCUACAAUCUACAAGGAGAGAACCAAGCUUUUCCAUGACAAGAAGAUCAUCACUAAGGAUUUCCAGGUUGGUGAUCAGGUGCUGCUAUUCAACUCUCGCUUGAAACUCUUUCCAGGAAAACUUAAAUCCAGAUGGUCUGGCCCCUUCUGUAUCACUGAGGUCCGUCCUUAUGGAGCAUUCGCUCUAGCUAGUAAGAGUGGAGAUUUUACAGUAAAUGGUCAAAGGCUCAAGAAAUACUUAGCAGACCAAAUCCUUCCAGAGGUGACAUCGGUUCAUCUCCAGGAACCUCUUGAUGAUUAAAGGAGUAAAGGAGUCAAGCUAUGACUUUAAACAAGCUCACUUGGGAGGAAGUUCCAUGACUAUCUCUGUAAAUAAAUUUUUUUAUUUUCUUGUUAUUUUUGAUUUGUCUUGGUUGUGUUUGUGGUUCUCAGGAACGAAGGAACAAUGUGGUGAUUGAGUAAAAAUUCAAAACUUUUACUCUACAGAAGACCUGGAGAUCGAGGGUAUAGCCCGUUGGAGUACAAAAUUUUGAAAAUCAUCUGUUGCACCUGGAGACCUUGCACUCGAGUACAUUGGUCGAGUAUGUGUGAUGUUUAAAACCCAAAAACUUUUAAAUCAUCAUUUUACUCGACCAACAGAAGCUACAGAGUCUUACAGGGAGUUUAUCAAAUUUUAAGUAGAUUUCCUGCAGUUUUCCAGUCAACAGAGUGUGGACCACACGCUGAGGAUAAGAUGGAGAGAGAAUCUCAAACUCAAUCUCAGCCAUUCCUUUCACUCGACCUUAUUCUCUCCUGUUCUCCACCACUCGACCUAAACAAUCAACUCGACCUCAUAAGCCCUAGUCGUACUCGACCUCCGCCGCGUCCACACAGUUCAACAAUUCACUCGACCUCCGAGGACCACUCGACCUAGGAACCGCCGUCACCAGUUCAUUUCCUCCUUCACUCGACCGGACCUCUACACUCGACUCCGUUGUGAUACUCGACCAAUUCAUCCACAUCAAACGCCGCCUCAGCCGAUUUCAACAACUCACUCGACCGCCGUGAAUCACUCGACUUUUCCAGCGCCGCCGCAAUCGAGUAUCCUCCUCGUUCACCGUCGAAUUCUCAGGGUUCAAGAUUUCACUCGACCUCGAGUUUUAACUCGACCUGAAGCACUAUAAUAGAGAUUACUCGACCUCAAGACUUCACCGGCUGAACUCAACAUCCACAAUUCACUCGACCUCCAGGAACAGCUCAAGUUACUCGAGUACAGAAUUGUACUCGAUCAAUUCAAUCUAUUUCAUUGCCUAUUGAUAACAAUUUUGGUUUCAUUGCUAUCCUUAGAGACUAACCUAUUGACAUUUGAGCUUUGAGUUCUAAAUUUCUACAGGAGAAUCAUGAGCAAUUACAGUGGCAGCUCUUCUGUUGAUCCUGACUACAACAUGGAUGAGACAGAGUCGUCAUCUUCAAGGCCAGAGAGAGAACAUAGAGAAUAUGAAAGCUUCAGAAGGAAAGCUGAGAUAGCCCGAUGGAAGAGAGCGAUGACAGAGAGGUAUGAGCUUAUAGACGAAGAUCUGGGAGACGAGUACAUGCCUGAACAGACUCGCAGAUCUACCAAACUUCUGCACAAGCUCGAUGUAUUGCCUGCUGAGGAAUAUGGUAGGCUUUUCAAGCUGAAUGAGUUAUGUAGCACGAGGUAUCCUUGCUCGACCUCACUUGCACAACUCGGAUUGUUGGAAGAUGUUCAACACCUGUACCAGAGUUGUCAUCUGGACACUCUGAUGGCUUAUCCGUAUGCAGCGUAUGAAGAUGAGACAGUACAAUUCCUCUCCACGCUGCAAGUAGAGCUCUACCAAGGUAUGACCUCUGAUGAGUUAGAUUGUGAAGGAUUGGGAUUCUUGCGAUUCUCUGUGUAUGGUCAUGCGUAUAGGUUAUCAAUCAAGCGCUUGGAAGGAUUGUUUGGCUUCCCCAGUGGAACGGGAUCUAAGCCCAAGUAUGACAGAGAAGAGUUGAAAGACUUGUGGAUCACCAUUGGCAGCUCUGUACCGCUGAAUUCUUCCAGGUCAAAGAGCAAUUAGAUACGCAGCCCUGUCAUCAGGUACUUCCAGCGUUCUAUAGCCAAUGUACUCUACUCCCGAGAGAUUACAGGGACUGUUACUAACUCUGAUAUGGAGAUGAUUGCAAUGGCCCUCAAGGGAACUCUUCGCCAAACUAAGAAUGGUAUGUCUCUCCAAUGUGAAGUCAAUGACACACCUCUCUCUGUACUUUCCAUCUAUGUGGAUACAAGAGCUGGGCUGUCAACAAUAACCACAAGAGAGCACGAGGCGCUCUGUGCAUAGGUGGUGUUGUGACACCGAUUCUGAUAGCUUGUGGAGUCCCAAUCAUUUCUGCUGGACUCGAGCCGCGAGCAAUGGAUAUCGAGCACCUACGUCACUACGAAUUCCUGGAGUUUGCAAUGGUUGACGACUUCCACAGGUUCAGGUUUGAGCACUCUACAGACAGGAGAGCUAGCAUAUUGAUUUUUGGCCUGAGGUUACACGGAUAAUAAAGGGAGAUAAUAUUGAUUUUCGGCCUGAGGUUGGACGCCUCUACUAUGAGAACGCUCCGCCAUUGGAUGAGGAUGAUCUUCUAGAAGAAGCUGCUUCGGAUGGGUUGGAUGAAGAUAGAGCAGUGGAGUUCGACACUAGCAUGUAUCACUUUGGUGAACAUGUACCUCCAGCGAGGCAGAGCAAGAGCUUGAUUGAAGCUCAUAAGAAUAACAGUAAAUUGCAGAAGUGGUGCAAGAAGCAGGACAAGCUGCUCGCCAAGUGUUUCAAGGCUAUCAAGCUUCUGACAGAUAAGCUGAGUUGUUCCUCCUCCACCACUGCUAUUCCACAGGGACAGCCUCCUCUGGAGAUGCCAUCGAGGAGAUUUGAUGACCUUCGCAC